GACAACCAUAUCACGUUGAAACACCGGUUCCCGUAAUAUCAUCGAAAUUAAGCAACGUAGAAUCUGGUAAGUACCUGGAUGGGUGACUGCUUCGGAAUACCAGGUGCUAU